UACGUAGGGUGCGAGCGUUGUCCGGAAUUAUUGGGCGUAAAGAGCUUGUAGGCGGUCUGUCGCGUCUGCUGUGAAAAUCCGGGGCUCAACCUCGGACUUGCAGUGGGUACGGGCAGACUAGAGUGUGGUAGGGGAGACUGGAAUUCCUGGUGUAGCGGUGAAAUGCGCAGAUAUCAGGAGGAACACCGAUGGCGAAGGCAGGUCUCUGGGCCACUACUGACGCUGAGAAGCGAAAGCGUGGGGAGCGAACAGG
rnacentral:rRNA from 1 species